GAUUAACGCGAAGAACCUUACCUACCCUUGACAUGCCAGGAAGUUGGCCGAGAGGUCGAUGUGCCCGAAAGGGAACCUGGACACAGGUGCUGCAUGGCUGUCGUCAGCUCGUGUCGUGAGAUGUUGGGUUAAGUCCCGCAACGAGCGCAACCCUUGUCAUUAGUUGCUACAUUCAGUUGGGCACUCUAAUGAGACUGCCGGUGACAAACCGGAGGAAGGUGGGGAUGACGUCAAGUCCUCAUGGCCCUUAUGGGUAGGGCCUCACACGUCAUACAAUGGCGCAUACAGAGGGUUGCCAACCCGCGAGGGGGAGCCAAUCCCAGAAAGUGCGUCGUAGUCCGGAUUGCAGUCUGCAACUCGACUGCAUGAAGUCGGAAUCGCUAGUAAUCGCGGAUCAGCAUGUCGCGGUGAAUACGUUCCCGGGCCUUGUACACACCGAAUCACUAGU
rnacentral:rRNA from 1 species